rnacentral:rRNA from 1 species
CUUAAAUUGAAGAGUUUGAUCAUGGCUCAGAUUGAACGCUGGCGGCAGGCCUAACACAUGCAAGUCGAGCGGUAGCACAAGAGAGCUUGC